GUGGGGAAUAUUGGACAAUGGGCGAAAGCCUGAUCCAGCCAUGCCGCGUGUGUGAAGAAGGUCUUCGGAUUGUAAAGCACUUUAAGUUGGGAGGAAGGGCAGUAAGUUAAUACCUUGCUGUUUUGACGUUACCGACAGAAUAAGCACCGGCUAACUUCGUGCCAGCAGCCGCGGUAAUGCGAAGGGUGCAAGCGUUAAUCGGAAUUACUGGGCGUAAAGCGCGCGUAGGUGGUUUUGUAAGUUGGAGGUGAAAUCCCCGGGCUCAACCUGGGAACUGCCUCCAAAACUGCAUGACUAGAGUACGGUAGAGGGUAGUGGAAUUUCCUGUGUAGCGGUGAAAUGCGUAGAUAUAGGAAGGAACACCAGUGGCGAAGGCGACUACCUGGACUGAUACUGACACUGAGGUGCGAAAGCGUGGGGAGCAAACAGGAUUAGAUACCCGUGUAGUCC
rnacentral:rRNA from 1 species